CGUGCAGGCGGUUUCGUAAGUUGUGCGUGAAAGCGCCCGGCUCAACCGGGCGAGGCCGUGCAAAACUGCGGAACUAGAGGCAGGUAGAGGCGUGUGGAAUUCCGGGUGUAGUGGUGAAAUGCGUAGAGAUCCGGAGGAACACCAGUGGCGAAGGCGACACGCUGGGCCUGAACUGACGCUAAGACGCGAAAGCAUGGGGAGCGAACG
rnacentral:rRNA from 1 species